rnacentral:RNase_P_RNA from 1 species
AUAAGGAAAUGGACGAUUGCUCUUGCUCGAUUUAUCGAUAUUUCGAAAUUUCGAGUGGGAGAGGAAAGUCCGGACACCACCCCGCAGUUGCGGGGGAAAAGCGUACGGGUUAACGACCCGCCGCGGAAUAAAUAACGCGAGAGGUGCGAACAGAGACGCCGAAAUCCGAAAGGAUUGAGGCGCCCAACACAUAACUUGUUAUGUGUUGGGCGAGUUUCUAUAGUAAUACGGAAAGUGAAACGGCUAAAUCCUUACUGGGGUGCAACCUCGUUAUGAGGGCUAGAGCCAUUCAGCAAUGAACGGCCCAGAGAGAUAAUCGUCGUCCGCCAGAAAUGGCGAGAUACAGAAUCCGGCUUAUAGUUUCCUUUAUGAG